AUGACUGAUUUCCUCUGGUGUUCAGAGUCCACAAUGUUUUCUAGCACCAUUUGAAAUCGGUUAU
rfam:Lepisosteus oculatus linkage group LG8, whole genome shotgun sequence.